GCGAGCGGCGGAUGGGUGAGUAACACGUGGGGAAACCUGCCCCAUAGUCUGGGAUACCACUUGGAAACAGGUGCUAAUACCGGAUAAGAAAGCAGAUCGCAUGAUCAGCUUUUAAAAGGCGGCGUAAGCUGUCGCUAUGGGAUGGCCCCGCGGUGCAUUGGCUAGUUGGUAAGGUAAAGGCUUACCAAGGCGAUGAUGCAUAGCCGAGUUGAGAGACUGAUCGGCCACAUUGGGACUGAGACACGGCCCAAACUCCUACGGGAGGCAGCAGUAGGGAAUCUUCCACAAUGGACGCAAGUCUGAUGGAGCAACGCCGCGUGAGUGAAGAAGGUUUUCGGAUCGUAAAGCUCUGUUGUUGGUGAAGAAGGAUAGAGGUAGUAACUGGCCUUUAUUUGACGGUAAUCAACCAGAAAGUCACGGCUAACUACGUGCCAGCAGCCGCGGUAAUACGUAGGUGGCAAGCGUUGUCCGGAUUUAUUGGGCGUAAAGCGAGCGCAGGCGGAAGAAUAAGUCUGAUGUGAAAGCCCUCGGCUUAACCGAGGAACUGCAUCGGAAAACUGUUUUUCUUGAGUGCAGAAGAGGAGAGUGGAACUCCAUGUGUAGCGGUUGGAAAUGCGUAAAUAUAUGGAAGAACACCAGUUGGCGAAAGGCGGCUCUCUGGUCUGCAACUGACGCUG
rnacentral:rRNA from 1 species